rnacentral:rRNA from 1 species
AGAGUUUGAUCCUGGCUCAGGACGAACGCUGGCGGCGUGCUUAACACAUGCAAGUCGAACGAUGAAGCCUUCGGGUGGAUUAGUGGCGAACGGGUGAGUAACACGUGGGAAAUCUGCCCUGAACUCUGGGACAAGCCUUGGAAACGAGGUCUAAUACCGGAUAUGACCCGUCCCCGCAUGGGGGUGGGUGGAAAGCUCCGGCGGUUCAGGAUGAUCCCGCGGCCUAUCAGCUUGUUGGUGGGGUAAUGGCCUACCAAGGCGACGACGGGUAGCCGGCCUGAGAGGGCGACCGGCCACACUGGGACUGAGACACGGCCCAGACUCCUACGGGAGGCAGCAGUGGGGAAUAUUGCACAAUGGGCGAAAGCCUGAUGCAGCGACGCCGCGUGAGGGAUGAAGGCCUUCGGGUCGUAAACCUCUUUCAGCAGGGAAGAAGCGCAAGUGACGGUACCUGCAGAAGAAGCACCGGCUAACUACGUGCCAGCAGCCGCGGUAAUACGUAGGGUGCGAGCGUUGUCCGGAAUUAUUGGGCGUAAAGAGCUCGUAGGCGGCUUGUCACGUCGGAUGUGAAAGCCCGAGGCUUAACCUCGGGUCUGCAUUCGAUACGGGCAGGCUAGAGUGUGGUAGGGGAGAUCGGAAUUCCUGGUGUAGCGGUGAAAUGCGCAGAUAUCAGGAGGAACACCGGUGGCGAAGGCGGAUCUCUGGGCCAUUACUGACGCUGAGGAGCGAAAGCGUGGGGAGCGAACAGGAUUAGAUACCCUGGUAGUCCACGCCGUAAACGGUGGGAACUAGGUGUUGGCGACAUUCCACGUCGUCGGUGCCGCAGCUAACGCAUUAAGUUCCCCGCCUGGGGAGUACGGCCGCAAGGCUAAAACUCAAAGGAAUUGACGG